CCUACGGGAGGCAGCAGUGGGGAAUAUUGGGCAAUGGAGGCAACUCUGACCCAGCAACGCCGCGUGAAUGAUGAAGGUUCUAUGGAUCGUAAACCUCUUUUAUAAGGGAAUAAAGUGCGGGACGUGUCCCGUUUUGUAUGUACCUUAUGAAUAAGGAUCGGCUAACUCCGUGCCAGCAGCCGCGGUAAUACGGAGGAUCCGAGCGUUAUCCGGAUUUAUUGGGUUUAAAGGGUGCGUAGGCGGCCUUUUAAGUCAGCGGUGAAAGUCUGUGGCUCAACCAUAGAAUUGCCGUUGAAACUGGGAGGCUUGAGUAUGUUUGAGGCAGGCGGAAUGCGUGGUGUAGCGGUGAAAUGCUUAGAUAUCACGCAGAACCCCGAUUGCGAAGGCAGCCUGCCAAGCCAUGACUGACGCUGAUGCACGAAAGCGUGGGGAUCAAACAGGAUUAGAUACCCUUGUAGU
rnacentral:rRNA from 1 species